UGCCGCGUGUGUGAUGAAGGCCUUAGGGUNUGUAAAGCACUUUCGCCGGUGAAGAUAAUGACGGUAACCGGAGAAGAAGCCCCGGCUAACUUCGUGCCAGCAGCCGCGGUAAUACGAAGGGGGCAAGCGUUGCUCGGAAUCACUGGGCGUAAAGCGUACGUAGGCGGGUCGUUAAGUCAGAGGUGAAAUCCUGGAGCUCAACUCCAGAACUGCCUUUGAUACUGGCGACCUUGAGUUCGAGAGAGGUUGGUGGAACUGCGAGUGUAGAGGUGAAAUUCGUAGAUAUUCGCAAGAACACCAGUGGCGAAGGCGGCCAACUGGCUCGAUACUGACGCUGAGGUACGAAAGCGUGGGGAGCAAACAGGAUUAGAUACCCUGGUAGUCCACGCCGUAAACGAUGGAUGCUAGCCGUUAGGCAGCUUGCUGCUUA
rnacentral:rRNA from 1 species